AGUCACCUCAAUCACCACACUUGCCAUUGUGAUUUUACAUGGUUAGUGUUAUUUCUUACAGGUAAUGCUGUUUUGUCUGGAAAGUUGCUGACCUUGUAGCCCAGCCAAUAUUUUGGUGAAGAAGUAGAAGUUCCUGGAUGAAGAGUCUUGGUCAGGAGGUUCUCCUCCACGUGGUAAUCCAUGGAUCCAGUCUCCAACCAACUCAUGGCUGUAUAUCUGUCUGGCUGGUAAACAAAAAGAAAGAACAUGCAGAAUGAAUAUGUGUUGCCAAGGUGAGCACCAAACAAAGUGUUUUAUUUGAGGGCGAUAAUUAUAGAGGAUAGGACUACUUCAUGACUUCACGGACCAAUGGACUAAUAUGGGUUCACCAACUAUGCAUUACCAGUUCAAGGAGACAGAGGUACAAAUUGAAGGU
ensembl:lncRNA